GCUCCUGUGGCAUAGUGGUUAGAGCGUCCACCUCAAAUGCAGGAGGUCAUGGGUUCGAUUCCCGGUUGAGUCA